GAAAUGCGAUAAGUAAUGUGAAUUGCAGAAUUCAGUGAAUCAUCGAAUCUUUGAACGCACCUUGCGCUCCUUGGUAUUCCGAGGAGCAUGCCUGUUUGAGUGUCAUUAAUAUAUAUCAAGCCUUCUCUUGUAGAAGGGUUUGGAUGUGGGGGUUUGCUGGCCUCUUAAAAGGGUUCAGCUCUCCUGAAAUGCAUUAGCAGAACAAACCUUGUGUUCAUUGGUGUGAUAACUAUCUACGCUAUCGAAUGUCGAGGGGGCAGUUCAGCUUUCUAACGGUCUUUGGACAACUCAUCAUUAAUGUGACCUCAAAUCAGGUAGGACUACCCGCUGAACUUAA
rnacentral:misc_RNA from 1 species